rnacentral:rRNA from 1 species
AUUGAACGCUGGCGGCAUGCCUAACACAUGCAAGUCGAACGGUAACGCGAGGAGCUUGCUCCUUGGCGACGAGUGGCGGACGGGUGAGUAAUGCUUAGGAAUCUGCCCAUGUAGUGGGGGACAACACGAGGAAACUCGUGCUAAUACCGCAUACGCCCGUAAGGGGGAAAGCGGGGGAUCUUCGGACCUCGCGCUAUUGGAUGAGCCUAAGUCGGAUUAGCUUGUUGGUGGGGUAAAGGCCUACCAAGGCUACGAUCCGUAGCUGGUCUGAGAGGACGAUCAGCCACACUGGGACUGAGACACGGCCCAG